rnacentral:rRNA from 1 species
GGGCAGCACGAUGUAGUAAUACAUUGGUGGCGACCGGCGCACGGGUGAGUAACGCGUAUGCAACCUACCUAUCAGAGGGGAAUAACCCGGCGAAAGUCGGACUAAUACCGCAUAAAACAGGGGUUCCACAUGGAAAUAUUUGUUAAAGAAUUAUCGCUGAUAGAUGGGCAUGCGUUCCAUUAGAUAGUUGGUGAGGUAACGGCUCACCAAGUCCACGAUGGAUAGGGGUUCUGAGAGGAAGGUCCCCCACACUGGUACUGAGACACGGACCAGACUCCUACGGGAGGCAGCAGUGAGGAAUAUUGGUCAAUGGGCGAGAGCCUGAACCAGCCAAGUCGCGUGAAGGAUGAAGGAUCUAUGGUUUGUAAACUUCUUUUAUAUGGGAAUAAAGUGAGGAACGUGUUCCUUUUUGUAUGUACCAUAUGAAUAAGCAUCGGCUAACUCCGUGCCAGCAGCCGCGGUAAUACGGAGGAUGCGAGCGUUAUCCGGAUUUAUUGGGUUUAAAGGGUGCGUAGGUGGUUAAUUAAGUCAGCGGUGAAAGUUUGUGGCUCAACCAUAAAAUUGCCGUUGAAACUGGUUGACUUGAGUAUAUUUGAGGUAGGCGGAAUGCGUGGUGUAGCGGUGAAAUGCAUAGAUAUCACGCAGAACUCCGAUUGCGAAGGCAGCUUACUAAACUAUAACUGACACUGAAGCACGAAAGCGUGGGGAUCAAACAGGAUUAGAUACCCUGGUAGUCCACGCAGUAAACGAUGAUUACUAGCUGUUUGCGAUACACAGUAAGCGGCACAGCGAAAGCGUUAAGUAAUCCACCUGGGGAGUACGCCGGCAACGGUGA